rnacentral:rRNA from 1 species
CUACGGGUUGCACCAGUUAGGGAACUUUUACAAUGCACGAAAGUGUGAUAAAGCGAGCCAGAGUGUUUAUCAUUUUAUGAUAAACUUUUGUCUACUGUAAAAGGCAGACGAAUAAGGACUGGGAGAGACCGGUGCCAGCCGCCGCGGUAAUACCGGCGGUCCGAGUCGCAGCCAUGAUUAUUGGGUCUAAAACAUCCGUAGCUUGUUUGAUAAGUUUCUUGUGAAAUCCCAUCUCUCAAGGGUGGGGCGUGCAAGAAAUACUGUCAGGCUAGAGACCGGAAGAAGUAAAAAGUACAGUUAAGGUAGUGGUAAAAUACGUUAAUCUUGAUUGGACUAACAAUAGCGAAGGCAUUUUACUAGUACGGAUCUGACAGUGAGGGAUGAAGGCUAGGGUCGCAAAACGGAUUAGAUACCCCUGUAGUC